AGUAGCAGGUCUAGUAAUGGGGUAGAUAUGGCAGUAGCAGGUCAUUAUUUGAUCUAGUAAUGGGGGGAAGAUAUGGCAGUAGCAGGUCUAGUAAUGGGGUAGAUAUGGCAGUAGUUGGUCUAGUAAUGGGGGUAGUUAUGGCAGUAGCAGCUCAUUAUUUGAUCUAGUAAUGGGGGGUAGAUAUGGCAGUAGCAGCUCAUUAUUUGAUCUAGUAAUGGGUGGAAGAUAUGGCAGUAGCAGGUCUCGUAAUGGGGGUAGAUAUGGCAGUAGCAGGUCUAGUAAUGGGGGGUAGAUAUGGCAGUAGCAGGUCUAGUAAUGGGGGGAAGAUAUGGCAGUAGCCGGUCUAGUAAUGGGGUAGAUAUGGCAGUAGCAGGUCUAGUAAUGGGGGUAGAUAUGGCAGUAGCAGGUCUAGUAAUGGGGGGAAGAUAUGGCAGUAGCAGGUCUAGUAAUGGGGUAGAUAUGGCAGUAGCAGGUCAUUAUUUGAUCUAGUAAUGGGGGGAAGAUAUGGCAGUAGCAGGUCUAGUAAUGGGGGGUAGAUAUGGCAGUAGCAGGUCUAGUAAUGGGGGGUAGAUAUGGCAGUAGCAGGUCUAGUAAUGGGGUAGAUAUGGCAGUAGUUGGUCUAGUAAUGGGGGUAGUUAUGGCAGUAGCAGGUCAUUAUUUGAUCUAGUAAUGGGGGAAGAUAUGGCAGUAGCAGAUCAUUGUUUGAUCUAGUAAUGGGGGGUAGAUAUGGCAGUAGCAGCUCAUUAUUGGAUCUAGUAAUGUGGGAAAAUAUGGCAGUUGCAGCUCAUUAUUUGAUCUAGUAAUGGGGGGGUAUGGCAGUAGCAGCUCAUUAUUUGAUCUAGUAAUGGGGGGUAGAUAUGGCAGUAGCAGCUCAUUAUUUGAUCUAGUAAUGGGGGGUAGAUAUGGCAGUAGCAGCUCAUUAUUUGAUCUAGUAAUGGGGGUAGAUAUGGCAGUAGCAGCUCAUUAUUUGAUCUAGUAAUGGGGGUAGAUAUGGCAGUAGCAGCUCAUUAGUUGAUCUUGUAAUGGGGUAGAUAUGGCAGUAGCAGGUCUAGUAAUGGGGGAAGAUAUGGCAGUAGCAGGUCGAGUAAUGGGGGGAAGAUAUGGCAGUAGCAGGUCUAGUAAUGGGGGGUAGAUAUGGCAGUAGCAGGUCAUUAUUUGAUCUAGUAAUGGGGGUAGAUAUGGCAGUAGCAGCUCAUUAUUUGAUCUAGUAAUGGGGUAAGAUAUGGCAGUAGCAGCUCAUUAUUUGAUCUAGUAAUGGGGGAAGAUAUGGCAGUAGCAGCUCAUUAUUUGAUCUAGUAAUGGGGGUAGAUAUGGCAGUAGCAGCUCAUUAUUGGAUCUAGUAAUGGGGGGAAGAUAUGGCAGUAGCAGCUCAUUAUUUGAUCUAGUAAUGGGGGAAGAUAUGGCAGUAGCAGCUCAUUAUUUGAUCUAGUAAUGGGGGGAGAUAUGGCAGUAGCAGGUCUAGUAAUGGGGGGUAGAUAUGGCAGUAGCAGCUCAUUAUUUGAUCUAGUAAUGGGGGUAGAUAUGGCAGUAGUAGCUCAUUAUUUGAUCUAGUAAUGGAGGGAAGAUAUGGCAGUAGAAGGUCUCGUAAUGGGGGUAGAUAUGGCAGUAGCAGGUCUAGUAAUGGGGGGUAGAUAUGGCAGUAGCAGGUCAUUAUUUGAUCUAGUAAUGGGGAAAGAUAUGGCAGUAGCAGCUCAUUAUUUGAUCUAGUAAUGGGGGGAGAUAUGGCAGUAGCAGCUCAUUAUUUGAUCUAGUAAUGGGGGGAGAUAUGGCAGUAGCAGCUCAUUAUUUGAUCUAGUAAUGGGGGGAAGAUAUGGCAGUAGCAGCUCAUUAUUUGAUCUAGUAAUGGGGGGUGAUAUGGCAGUAGCAGCUCAUUAUUUGAUCUAGUAAUGGGGGGAAGAUAUGGCAGUAGCAGCUCAUUAUUUGAUCUAGUAAUGGGGGGAGAUAUGGCAGUAGCAGGUCUAGUAAUGGGGGGUAGAUAUGGCAGUAGCAGCUCAUUAUUUGAUCUAAUAGUGGGGGUAGAUAUGGCAGUAGCAGCUCAUUAUUUGAUCUAGUAAUGGGGGAAGAUAUGGCAGUGGCAGGUCUAGUAAUGGGGGUAGAUAUGGCAGUAGCAGGUCUAGUAAUGGGGGGGUAGAUAUGGCAGUAGCAGGUCUAGUAAUGGGGGGUAGAUAUGGCAGUAGCAGGUCUAGUAAUGGGGGGUAGAUAUGGCAGUAGCAGGUCUAGUAAUGGGGGUAGAUAUGGCAGUAGCAGGUCUAGUAAUGGGGGUAGAUAUGGCAGUAUCUCUUUCCAUCAUUCAGGACUGGGGGGGGGUUCCUUCUCUGACCUUCAUUCAGGAAAGACAACAGUUGGGAAUACCGUCACUAAACCUCUAAGAAACGAAAAGAAAAAGCCAUCUUUCUAGCAAAAACAACAAUGUAUUGGUUAAAGGCUUUGGACAAUAUGUGGCAAAACAGCAUAUCUUUAUGAGUUAAAGAGAAACAAGGAUGUUUCGUA
rnacentral:lncRNA from 1 species